rnacentral:rRNA from 1 species
AUGUAUGUGAUGCUUGACAAUGGGUAUAGUUUUUCAGACUGCCUCUAUUACAUGAGCUGUGGUGGAAUAGGAUUGGAUGGUUUCAAACUGCUUGACAGUCAGAUGAAGGUGGAUGAAAUGCUUAGGCAAAACCAGGACAUCAGGAGGAUCACAUUGUCAGUUACUAAGGGCAAGAGGCAGCAGGCAAUUGUUGUGUCUCCAGCAAAGAAGGGAAAGAGAAAGGCAGCAGAACUAGUUCAGAUAUCUGAUGAAGAAUAUAGCAGUGAUCCUGAUAUAGUGUUUGCAGUCAGUGAAGAUGGUGUGGCCCAUAAGGAAUCUGGUGAUUAUGUUGGUUCAAGUUCAGGCCGAGGCACAAAUGAGUUUUUGUUCUUUAGCACACAGCAGAGUGUAAAUUACCAGCCCAUCCAAACUAUGCCACCUCCCCAGACAGAAGCUUAUGAUGAAUACCAUAACUCUCAGAUAGAAGACAGUGCCAAUUAUGCAGACAUGGAUCUUGAUUCAGAAAGUGAGGAGGAAAAUAGCUCUAAUGAAGAUAGUGCUGACCUGCAGUCAACUGUAGCAGAUAUGAAGAAGGCAGCACUGCACUUUGAGGGUGACACAGAACCAGAGGACAUUUAUGAUGUUCCUGAGGAGCAGGAAGAGGAAGAGCACAGUGAACAAGCUCCAAAUGUAGCUGAAGAAGAACAUUUCACUGAAGAUGGAGUACUGCAGCAGCCUGUGCUUAGGAUUGGAAAGAGAGUGGGGCCAACAACAAGAACACACUCAUCAGCCAAUGAUCCAAUUGAGCCUGAUUAG